rnacentral:rRNA from 1 species
UACAGAGGGUGCAAGCGUUGUUCGGAAUUAUUGGGCGUAAAGCGCGUGUAGGCGGCUUGUUAAGUCGGGUGUGAAAGCCCUCAGCUCAACUGAGGAAGGGCGCCCGAAACUGGCGAGCUUGAGUGUCGGAGAGGAUGGCGGAAUACCCCAAGUAGAGGUGAAAUUCGUAGAUAUGGGGAGGAACACCGAUUGCGAAGGCAGCUCGCUGGGACGUUACUGACGCUGAGACGCGAAAGCGUGGGGAGCAAACAGG